UACGUAGGGGGCAAGCGUUGUCCGGAAUCAUUGGGCGUAAAGCGCGUGUAGGCGGCUUGGUAAGUCUGCUCUGAAAGCCCGGGGCUCAACCCCGGGAGGCGGGUGGAUACUGUCAAGCUCGAGUCCGGAAGAGGAGUGUGGAAUUCCUGGUGUAGCGGUGAAAUGCGCAGAUAUCAGGAGGAACACCAAUGGCGAAGGCAGCGACUCUGG
rnacentral:rRNA from 1 species